UGAAUGUCGCGAUCUGCAGAUCGAGAUCUGACCUAGCGAACCAGCAUGGGCAGGUCACGCGUACGCCGCCGCGCCGGCGCCGCAAUCGCCGACGACGUCCUCCGCGACGUCUUCGCGCGCCUGCCGGGCUACCAGGACCUUCUCCGGUGCGCGGCGACGUGCAAGCGAUGGUUCCGCCUCAUCACGGACCCGGCCUUUCUUCGGUAUGUCGGCCUCUGGCCGGAGACGGCGCGCCGCCCGUCCGUCCUCG
rnacentral:lncRNA from 1 species